GAUGAACGCUGGCGGCGCGCCUAACACAUGCAAGUCGAACGAUUAAAGCACCUUCGGGUGUGUAUAAAGUGGCGAACGGCUGAGUAACACGUGGGCAACCUGCCCCUUUCAUUGGGAUAGCCACGGGAAACCGUGGAUAAUACCGAAUACUUCGAGACUUCCGCAUGGAAGACUCGAGAAAGCUCCGGCGGAGAGGGAUGGGCCCGCGGCCUGUUAGCUUGUUGGCGGGGUAACGGCCUACCAAGGCAAUGAUGGGUAGCUGGGUUGAGAGACCGACCAGCCAGAUUGGGACUGAGACACGGCCCAGACUCCUACGGGAGGCAGCAGUGGGGAAUCUUGCACAAUGGGCGAAAGCCUGAUGCAGCGACGCCGCGUGCGGGAUGAAGGCCUUCGGGUUGUAAACCGCUUUCAGCAGGGACGAGGCGAAAGUGACGGUACCUGCAGAAGAAGCCCCGGCUAACUACGUG
rnacentral:rRNA from 1 species